CUGAAAAACACAGCUGUUCUGUAUUUGGGUGCUUUAGGCACAGUACUCCCACUCAGCACUAGCUGUCUGCAUUGUCUCUCUAGUAUCUCUCUGAUUGCCCUUAAGGUUAACAAAUUCAUGACUAGUGAUAUGGUUGCAAAUACAACUGCAAUCCUCAGGGUGUGAAUGAGGUCAGGAUUCCAGAUAUGCAUUAGUAAAAGAGUUAGUGAUAAAUCUAAAUGAAGAAAGGCAGACAAGGAAGCAUUUUUAUGUGUAUUUUAUUAAUGAAAUGUUGAGAUAAGAGAGUAAGUCUAGGUCUGUACUAUGUUGUAAACACAGAGCUCUUGCAAGCUUGCAUUCUAACUUUGUUUUGAAACUCUCAGGAUGAGUCUGUGACCGUGAGUGGACAAUGAGCAAACUUGUCAACACAGGAAGACAAAAAGCUUAGCCCUGCUUUAUCCUUCAGGGCAAGCUGAAAGGAUAGAACAGGAAACCACAUUGGAUGCUUUCACUUUCUGCAAGGACAGAAAGGCAGUGAAGAAAACUGACAGUUGGAAAAAUGAGAUGAACUACUUAGUAAUUUUCAGCUCUUAAAUAAUUGCCAUGAUGCUGAGAAAAGCUUCUUCUUCAGAUGAGUUCCAUCUACAACUGAUUCUUAGACUGACAACCAAGGUAAAUUAGAAAUUAUUUUAAAAAGUUACUAUGUGAUUUAAAUCUUAUUUUAUUUUAAAAUCCUUAAAGAUAUAAAAGUGUGUUUGACCCAUGGACUUUUACAGACUCCCUGUACUCUAAAAUAUAUACUGGGGUAAAUUCCAGCAAUGUCCACUUUUAUACCAGUCAUUUGUAGCAACAUGAAAUUAUUUUCAGUAGCUGGAAAUAUUCAAAUAUAAGUUACUACAUCAUCAGACCCACUCCUGGAAGUGCUUUCUUGGUUUCACUUCAUUUCUUUUGUUAUAUUUUCAAGGAGGUCUACAGAAGAGAGAAAACAACUCCUAAAUGUCCUAAGAAAAACAGGCUACUUUUAUGUGACUAGAGUCUCAUUUUGAAUCAUGAUUGCUCUCUUUUGAACAAGGAAGGAACAACAAGAGAGGCAGAGAUAUUAAGUGUCUUACUUGUCAGAAAUACCUAAAUGAGAUAGCACACUACAAAGUGAUUAAAUAUACUAUUGCUCUAAGUCUAAAUCUAUAAAAGCUAGGAUAAAGAUUCUAUACCUGAAGCACUUGACUGGAAAACUUAAACAACUAUUCACAGGUUGGCAUAAAGGUGGAAAUGUAUUUUUUAAACAUAAUAGCUGAAAUAGAAUGUGCUUUUUGUUGUAUUAGAGGCAAAGGAAGAAAAUUAUAGCCAUCUGAAUCUUCUGACAGGUUUGUUUUUGAAUAUAGUGGGAUUGCACUUCCACAUAAAAUAUUGACUAAGUAAAGGACAUAACGUCCCUG
rnacentral:lncRNA from 1 species